CGUUGUUCGGAUUCAUUGGGCGUAAAGGGUGCGUAGGUGGCGCGUUAAGUCAGGUGUGAAAUUUCGGAGCUUAACUCCGAAACUGCAUUUGAUACUGGCGUGCUUGAGGACUGGAGAGGAGACUGGAAUUCAUGGUGUAGCAGUGAAAUGCGUAGAGAUCAUGAGGAAGACCAGUGGCGAAGGCGGGUCUCUGGACAGUUCCUGACACUGAGGCACGAAGGCCAGGGGAGCAAACGGG
rnacentral:rRNA from 1 species